UCUAUAUGCUUCCCCCACCCUUUCAGACGCUAGACCCAUCUUUUGCUGUACUCGACUCCUGCUCUCCCCGUCUCCCUCCUCGCCUCACUCUUCUCUGCACCAAGCAGCUCGAUUUAGGGCUUCACCAUUUCUCUUCGAAUCAAGAAGGCCUUCUCAAUCUAUUGUCUACACUGAAAAAAAAAAGGAGGUCAGACUGUUAAAAAUUUCAAAUCCAAGAAAAGAAAAAGACCACCGCCAACUCACCCAAGUUCGAUGAAUCAAGCUGCAACAUUAGUAUGAACCGUGCUGCCACCAAUAGUAAGUGAUUUAUCCUACUCUAGAUUUCAAAAAUUCAUUUUUAGGUCAUGUGUUCAAAGUUUUUUUGCAAUUGUUUUGCUAACCUUUCUCUUCAAGGAAUUGGCUGCCACCAAUAUAUAUAUACACACAUUCUAUCUUCUUUUCAUUUGGUCUGAAUACAUGAACAAUUGCUUGCCCAUUCAAGGUUAAGUUGGACAUCCAAAAGUGUAAGUCAACAUGCCCCCAACAAAGAUGUAACCUCUCGACAACACCUUAGCAAUACAGGAAUUGUUAAAUCUAUCUGUAGACCAUUCCCGUCACUCAUUAAUUAGAUUUAACAAUUUCCAUAUUAUUAACCUGUUCUUUGGCUCAAUUGAGGCAUGUGGAAAGAUUAUAUUUUUGGUAAUCUAUUUAUACUUUUGGAUAUCCAUAUUAAACGUCCCAGUGAACCGCCAAGUAAUUAGGCAUGUAUUUAAAACAGAUCAAAAGAAGAAAGCCUUUGUAUAUACAUUGGUGGCAGCUAAUUCCCUUAAAAAGAAAAGAUGGAAGUGAUAAUCUCUGAGACACCAAGUUAGGUGUAUCUCAUCCAUCUUUCUACACCCUUUUGUUUCAUUUUAGAAUGGAAAUACUAGGAAAUUGACUGGUGGUUUCAACUAUUGUUCUUAUUAAAAUUAUUACAAUUUAUUAAUUUCAUCUGUAGUCACUUUUAUUUUUAAUCCCGCAACAAUGCGCGGGCAUAACUACCUAGUAUCUUCUGUAGAAUAACUGUGUGUGAGAGAGAGAGAAACAGAGAGUAGCAUUAAAAAAUUACAAAGCUUGAAGGAAAUACCGCUGUCACUAUGUCAAGUUAAUCUGCAAUAAUCUCAACCAAAAUCAUUACUUACUAGAUCGUAGCUUCAUCAACUUCAUUGAAGUCCUGCAUGGACCACAUCGCAAGCUCACAAUUCAUAAUUAUACCCAAAUUUUGCUUUUUUUGCCUUGCAAAUGAUCAUAGGCUUUGCAUGAGCGGAAUACUUCAUAUACACAACUAGUUGGUCGUCAAACUCAAACUCAAUCACCAUGUCAUUAUUCUCAUCUACCCAUUGGGUUCUUGCCUCUUCGUACACCGAAUGAGCAAAAUCUCCAGCAAAAGAAACCCGAAAUAGGUGAUAGUUUUUUCCUACCAUGUUGGGACAUCCCAAGUAGUGGCAAGAGCGAACUUCAUCUCGAAAUUUACUGAAACAUAUACAAAAAGUAAGUCAAUUGACACACAUAAAAAUAUUGUUCUAGUCUAAUGGCUAAUGAGGUACGUCAUAUAAAUAUGGUUCAGGUCAGUACUAGCUAAUGGGUGAACAAGCUGUGAUCUCUGGAAUUCCAUCAAUAGGCUUUUCCUUUGCAUAAUACGCUUCCAUACGCUGUACAUUGUAGCAGAGAAAACAUAAAUUCAAACUACUUUGUUUUAACUUGGAAUUAGCUAACAGAUAGCUUUUACCAACACUAGACACACAUUAUAAAUGCUCAGCUAUAUAGAGGCAAAUGCAAUGGUGGAAAGUUGUGGAAGUUGUUAUCUUAUAUUCUAACUUAAAUGAAAGCGAAACCUUGUGAAGAUAUAUUUAUAAACUUCUAUUAGGAGUUCAAAGUGCCAGAGGAUGUGGAACAUAUAGGUAAUUGUUGAGUGUCACUGGAAGUGGGCUAAUAAAAUACAAGUGAUGAGGCCAAAAACUAGUAUUUUUGUUUCAGCAGAGACUAUCUCAUCAAUGAGGUACACGGAGAUGAUUGACAUAUGGUGAGCUUGCUGCAAGUUCUAUGGAAGCACUUUUUAGCACUUGAUGGCCCGCUCUUGCAAGACUGAAGGUGUAUGAUGAAGCAACAAUCCAUUUUACAAAUAUCAUGAAGAUGGCUGCUUUCGCCAUUACAAUAUUCUCCAAACUACAUUAAUUAAUUGUGCUAUAUAUAUAUAUAUAUAUAUAUAAAAGAACGACAACCAUUACCUGAAGAAUAACUUUAUAACCUCGACUCUAACCUUGAUAGAUUGAUGAACAAAGAUAAAGAGUGCAGCCUUCACUGUCAAGAGUUUGUUGGUAUGCAAACCACUUAUGAUGACUGUUAUAUGUUGCACUGACUGAUAUAUGUUGCAUUGACUGUCAAAAGAGUUUCUUCGAUUACAAUUGGUUUUUUUUGUGUUGUCUACAUUGAUUUUGGAAUGGUUUAAUGAGUUGCAUUGAUUGGUAUAUGUGUAUCAUUUGAACCCUCAUCAAGCAAGAUGCUGAUUCUCUUGAUUUCCAUUCUAAGAAGACCAGGAGCAUCAGGAGGCAUCUCACCAAGCAUCAAGUACGGCUUUUGAACACGUACUUGAUGCUUGGUGAGAUGCCUCCUGAUGCCCCUGGUCUUGUUGGAAUGGAAAUCAAGAAAAAUCAAGAGGAAUCAGCUUUUUGCCUGAUGAAGGUUCAGAUGAUACAUAUAUACCAGUCAAUGCAACUCAUCAAACCAUUCCAAAACCAAUGUAGACAACACAAACAAAACCAAUCGUAGUAAAAGAAACUCUUUUGUCAGUCAAUGCAACGUAUACCAAUCAGUGCAACAUAUAUCAAUCAUCAUAACAGGUUUGCAUACCAAAAAACUCUUUUGAUAGGCGAGACUGCACUCUUUGCCCUUGUUCAUCAAUCUGUCAAGGUUGGAGUUGAGGUUAAGAAACUAUUCUUCAGGUAAUGGUCGUCGUCCUUAUAUAUAUGUAUAUAUAUCUAUACAACAUAAUUAAUGAAUGCAAUUUGUGGAUUAUUGUAAUGGCAAUAUCAACCAUCCUCAUGAUAUUUGUAAAAUGUAUUGUUGCUUCAUUCGUUUCCUUUGUAUGCACAUUCUUUUGCUUUUUAGCCUUGCUCCUGAAUGUUCAUAUGCUUCUCUACUAAUAUUAUCUUUCAAUCCAUCGCAAAGACUUAGAUACCCUUUCAUAAGGAUUCGACGUGAUCAUGGAGUACCGGCUGUCGACUACCUGACGCCCUCCCCCUCCUCCUUUACCCUUACAUAAGAAAAAUUUUCCAAGUGAUGAACCACUUCUUGGCAGCUUGAUGGGUGAUGUUUUUAUGUGUUGGGUUAUCUUCAUGUUCUCUUUGAAGUCGACAGACCGUACACCCUCAGUCUUGCAAGGGUGGGCCAUCAAGUGCUGAAAAGUGCUUCCAUAGAACUUGCAGUAGGCUCACCAUAUGUUAAUCAUCUCCGUGUCCCUCAUUGAUGAGAUAGUCUCUGCUGAAAAAUAAGGACUAGUUUUUGGCCUCUUCACCUGUCUUUUAUUAGCUCACUUCUAGUGACAAUAAUCUCUAUUUUCCACAUCCACUGGCACUAAUAGAAGUUUAUAAAUAUAUCUUCACAAGGCUUCACUUUCAUUUAAGUUAGAAUAUAAGAUAACAACUUCCACAGCUUUCCACCAUUGCAUUUGCCUUAAUAUAGCUUGAGCAUUUGUGAUGUGUGUUUAGUGUUGGUAAAAGCUAAUUGUUAGCUAAUUCUGAGUUAAAACAAAGCAGUUUGAAUUCUUGUUCAGCCAUUAGCUAAUACUGACGUAAACCAUAUUUAUAUGACGUACCUCAUUAGCCAUUAGAUUGGAAUAGUGUUUUUAUGUGUCAAUUGACCUACUUUUUGUAUAUGUUUAAGUAAAUUUGGAGGUGAAGUUCCCUCUUGCCACUGCUUGGGAUGUCCCGACAUGGUAGGAAAAAACUAUCACCUAUUUCGGCUUUCUUUGGCUGGAGAUUUUGCUCAUCCGGUGUACGAAGAGGCCAGAGCCCAAUGGGUAGACGAUAAGAAUGACAUGGUGACAAAGUUUGACUUUGAUGAUCAACCAUCUGUGUAUAUGAAGUAUUCUGCUUAUGCAAAGCUUAUGAUCAUUUGCAAGGAAACGAAGCAAAAUUUGGGUAUAAUUCUAAAUUAUGAGUUGGUGAUGUGGUCCAGGACUUGAAUGAAGUUGUGAUCUAGUAAGUAAUGAUUAUUGUAAAUUAACUUGACAUAGUGACAGUUAUAUUUCCUUCAAGCUCUACAAUUUUUUAAUGCUACUUUUUCUCUGUUUCUCUCUCUCUCUCACACACACAGAGUUAUUCUACAAAUGAUAUAUCACAAAACCUAAAAGAAAAUUGCACAAUGACCAUAUGCAGUUUGGAGAUUAAUACAAUUUCAUUAGGAACCAUCAUGAUGAUAUUUGUAAAAUGUAUUGUUGCUCUAUUCAUUUUGUUACUGAUGUGCAUUUAUGUUUUUGCACGUACGUACAUAGGGAAGAGUAUUAUGCAAAGGAAAUGCCUACUCUAGAGAUCAAAUCUUACUCCCGUGUGUACUAUUAUUUGUAAUUGCUUAAAAUAGAGAGUAUUGUUAAGGAUGCUAAGUUAAACUAAUUAGUCAAAAUUGUCCCGGACCCUAUUCACUAAGUGAACCAAAAAUGUUCUUCUAGUCACUUACGACCAACUCACCCUUAAACUAAGAACUAACAAACUAGAAACUUAAACCAAACUAAGACACAAAAAUUUCACCUUCAAGUUGCAAUCCAUAGAAAAUGUUAAAAAUUAGAACAUCUUUCCAAAAGUUUCAACUAAUCCCGCCACAGAGUCUAAGCCGUUUAGAAUCAAUUAGAAAAGAAUUCAUGAACUUCCUUUGGUGUAAGGGUGAACCAACUUAGUUAAGGAGACUUGACUAAAAUCCUUACCUUUCGUCUUCUUUAUUUAACACUUCACACAUAAUAACAUGAUAUAUAUAUUUUUUUCGCCUUUUUCGCCUUUUUUCCUUUUUUUUAGUAGCAGUGUUCGUGCAAUGUUAGUUCACUUAAGUUUUCUAUUCAACCCAUAUAACGAGCUUUAGGUCAAUGACUCUCAAACCACUAAGGCUUUAGGGCACUAGGUAUAAAACACCCCUUAAGGACUUAUUAACUCGAGCUGAAAAGAUUACGAAACCAGCUAACCACCUUGCCCCAUGCCAAAACUCUACCGUUUGAUGCGACAAUCACUGCUGAUCAGGAAGGACUGGCCUGGUUACUAGGCAAAGCCUCAGGUGGAACAAUUAUUACUUUAUUGAUAACAACUAACUUUACUAACUUAGAACAAAAAUUAAAAAUUACUUAGACGAAAAGUAAGUUUUCUAUCUCACUCCUCACAAACCAUGUUGAUGUGAAUGUGCAAAUUUUCAAAGUAUAAUUCAUGAAUUAGUGUCUAAACAAUGAUAAAUAGAAACGACUCUAUUAUGGGAUUAACUUUCACCUUGUUCAUUUGUUCUAACAUUUAAAAUAAUCUAUGAAUAUUAACUUCAAAAGAAUGAAAAUUUUAUUUGACUCAAAAAUUAAAAAAAAAUCUAAAAUUUCUUAUUUCCCACCCCCAACUUAAAUCACACAUUGUCCUCAAGGUGUGGAAAAAUAAAAGCAUAAAGAAAGAAUAAAGAAAAAUGAUCCACAAAAACAACUAACUAAUCAAAGAAAAAACAGUAGACAAAAAGAUUUAAAAAAUAAAAUAAAAUAACAAAAAGAAAAAGAAAAAGAACAAUAAUACCUGGGCUGGAAGUAGAAACUUGCUGGUAUGAAGAGCCCACGUAAGCAAAGAAUGCACGAGCCCAUUUCAUCAUCACGUGCGUGACAAAAAUGGACCCUUGGAAGGAUCACAGUCUGACAUUGGAAUAACCUUUUGGGCUGAACCCAACCCCAAAAGAGGUCCAAUAGCAUACAAAAACCAAAGGCAUGGAUUGUAAUGGGAUGCAGCUGGCAUAUGCUUUUAUUAAAAUAGUGUGUGCUGGUUCCCCAUUUCGCAACCCUAGAAAUGCAUGAUUCUCUCUCAUCAUUCCUCGAGCAGAGCCAAACAGCUCUCCUUCAUUACUCUCUUUCUGCUAAGUCCAUCAAACCCUAGCCAUUCCACUUAAAUUUCUCGAAGCUUCCCAAAACCUUCACAACACAGUGCCUCUUCCGUCUUUUCUGUAACACAAACCAAUAUCCAAAACCCCAUCUCAACCUCUGUCAUAACCAGAGCUGCCAUAGCUACACCAUCCAAACUUAUUCACUACUGCAAAUACAGAGCUACAUUCCUCAGGAACUUUGAGCUGACGUCAGUACAAUGGAAGAGACAACGAAAUUGCUACAACAUCUCAGAUCGGGCAAUGCACUGGAAAACAAAACAAGAAAUACUCGGAUCCAAAGCCAAAGGAACCGUGAUGAAUGAUGAGUCAAAAUGAUGUGCACAAAACUGAAUCGGUAUCUUGACUUGAUGAACCGUGCUCUCUGUGCAACAUGGAUCCCUCUCCCAAACUUCAAUGUAAUUAUAUUUUGAAUGAAGUGUGAGAGAGUGAGUGAAAGGGGUCCAUUAGCAUAGAGGUCUGACUCUUCUCAGCAUCCCACUGUGAAAUUUGUCUAUGAGGAAUUUGGCUGCCACAAAACGUCUUCUUCUUCUCGUAUGCCUUUAGCCUGCUCGAUGGACCUGCACUCCAUUUCUGCUAUUAUGAUUGGCUUUUUGUGUGUGCUGGCAGUUUCAAAGCUUUCCUGCAGCUUUGAAAGAGAAUGUGUGGCAUAUAGAUUUGGGUAGCAAGGGGUUCUGUGGGAAUUUUAAGAUUAGCAGUUUCCUCCAUUGGGCGAGAGUCAAUGCCUGGUGGCUCCUCAAUUCUAGCGUCUUUUUGCAUGUAGUCAUAAUUCUCUACACAUUGCGGUGUUUGAAUAAAACACCAUUCCUCUAAAUCUUGUGGGCCAUCUAUUUGUUGACAAGGAAAAUCGUCUUCCUCGUGUUCGUCCCAUUGAUGCAUGAGUUGCUCAACUUGUUGCACCAGAUUAUCUAAUGAAGCUUGGGUAUCUCCCAAUCUCCCAAGAGUAAGCAGCAAUUUUUCAACUGCAAUCUCCCAAUUAGCUUUUGCUGGCGCAUGAGGCUGUUCAAAAGGCUGAUGGCUACCCACCCACAUGAUUUUGAUGCUCUGGCCAUGAUAGAUUGUAAAAAUUUGAGUAGGAAGUGCACCUAGGCCUUUGAAAAUUGUUCCUCAUAUUAAUAUGAUGCUGCACAAACUCUGGAAAAUACUGCCUCUGAGGACAUUACAUAAUAUCAUGGGUAUUUAAAUUGCAAAGAGCACAAAUUGUUGGUGCAAAUCCAAAGUAUCACAUUGCUGCUAAUGAAAUUGUUGCACUGCUCUCAAAAUCAACAAAUUGUAACCUAAAAAAAAAUUAAAAUCAAGUAAAUAAAAAGAUAUAUACAAAAAUAAUUAACUAAGAGUUG